UACGAGGGGGGCGAGCGUUGUUCGGAAUUAUUGGGCGUAAAGGGUGCGUAGGCGGUUUGGUAAGUCUCGUGUGAAAUCUCCGGGCUCAACUCGGAGCCUGCACGAGAAACUGCCGGGCUUGAGUGUGGGAGAGGUGAGUGGAAUUCCUGGUGUAGCGGUGAAAUGCGUAGAUAUCAGGAGGAACACCUGUGGCGAAAGCGGUUCUCUGGGCCUGUACUGACGCUGAGGAGCGAAAGCGUGGGGAGCAAACAGG
rnacentral:rRNA from 1 species